rnacentral:lncRNA from 1 species
UUGGAUUUACCCAAACUAAUUUUGUGAAAACAAAUUUCAUAAUUAAUUACUACUCAUUAAGUAAUUUAUCAAAUGAGCAAAAUAUUUAAAUAUUCACUAAAGAAAUAAUAAUUAAACAUAAUUGCCAAUUAAAGUAAUUAGAAAAAAGGCUAUGAUAUUACUUAAUUACAUAUAUUAAACUAAAGAAGUUGGCCAAAAAAUAAAAUUAAAGAAACUAAUUUUACAUGUUUAAAAUAAAUAAAAAUAAAAAUAAAAAUAAUUUUUUUUGAAAAAGCAAGAAAACCUCUCCCGACGAAAGUUCGUUGGCACAAGUUUAUCCCUGCAAAAAUUCACCGGAUUAGAGUUCUCUCGAUGAAUUGCGUCGGCAGAGGUUGUGUCGUCUGGACAAGUCUUAUAACUAUGCCGACAAAAGUUCGUCGGGAGAGAUUUUAUUUAAAAAUAAAAAUAAAUUUAGUAUCUUUUAGGUCC